AAUAGUUUGACAACGAAGCGUACCCAGUACACCAGUUGGUGUAAAAAGCAGCUUGUUUCUGCUUUAAAGUUUAAUAAAAACUGAGAUAAGAUCUGCAUUGGGAUGCUCUCGGAACAACACAAAUCGGAAAAUGGAGGAACUAAAAAAGACGCAGAGUCAUACCACAGAUAACAGAUAUUGAGGCUGGCAUCCGAAACGUGUGUAAACAUCGGCAACCGUUAAUUCAAAUGUAUUUUAAAUUGGGACCGCGUUUAGCAAUCGUUUGGAGAUGGCGCAAGGAUCAUUGUUAUUGAAAACGCAGCCCGAAUGCGGCUGUCAAAUCCAUUGGCUGCGUUCGACGGUUGUGAAUCAGCUGCGUAAGUAUGUACUGCCGCAAUCAGUUGAGUAGAUGGCAGUAGUGGGCCAACGUAUAUCAAUUCAAAAGUUUACACAGGAUUUUCAAUAAAAUUUGUUCUAGCUUAAAUAUCUGUUAUCUGUGGUCAUACGUAUAGCUGAACGUUGAUGGCUAAUGUGCGUUACACUUCUGGCGAUUUGUAACAGCAAACUCAACCUCAAUACAAGCCGGAAGGAUGAUCUUGUGCUUGCUUUUCAUCCUCUAUGAGGAAGCUCGUUUGGAGGAUGAGG